rnacentral:rRNA from 1 species
CCUACGGGGUGCUGCAGUGGGGAAUAUUGGACAAUGGGCGAAAGCCUGAUCCAGCCAUGCCGCGUGUGUGAAGAAGGCCUUCGGGUUGUAAAGCACUUUCAGUGGGGAAGAAAGCCUUGGGGCUAAUACCCUCGAGGAAGGACAUCACCCACAGAAGAAGCACCGGCUAACUCCGUGCCAGCAGCCGCGGUGAUACGGAGGGUGCGAGCGUUAAUCGGAAUUACUGGGCGUAAAGCGCGCGUAGGCGGUCUGAUAAGCCGGUUGUGAAAGCCCCGGGCUCAACCUGGGAACGGCAUCCGGAACUGUCAGGCUAGAGUGCAGGAGAGGAAGGUAGAAUUCCCGGUGUAGCGGUGAAAUGCGUAGAGAUCGGGAGGAAUACCAGUGGCGAAGGCGGCCUUCUGGACUGACACUGACGCUGAGGUGCGAAAGCGUGGGUAGCAAACAGGAUUAGAUACCCUAGUAGUC